rnacentral:rRNA from 1 species
GUCGAGAAUCUUUCACAAUGGGGGCAACCCUGAUGGAGCGACGCCGCGUGGAGGAUAAGGUCUUCGGAUUGUAAACUCCUGUCAUGCGUGAACAAGGUUGCUUGGUUAAUACCUGGGCAAAUUGAUGGUAACGCAAGAGGAAGAGACGGCUAACUCUGUGCCAGCAGCCGCGGUAAUACAGAGGUCUCAAGCGUUGUUCGGAAUCACUGGGCGUAAAGGGUGCGUAGGUGGCGUGGUAAGUCAGAUGUGAAAGCACGGGGCUCAACCUCGGAACUGCAUCCGAUACUGCCAUGCUAGAGUACUGGAGAGGUGACUAGAAUUCUCGGUGUAGCAGUGAAAUGCGUAGAUAUCGAGAGGAAUACCAAAGGCGUAGGCAGGUCACUGGACAGUUACUGACACUGAGGCACGAAGGCCAGGGGAGCGAACGGGAUUAGAUACCCUGGUAGUCC